rnacentral:rRNA from 1 species
CCUACGGGAGGCAGCAGUGAGGAAUAUUGGUCAAUGGCCGAAAGUCUGAACCAGCCAAGCCGCGUGAAGGAUGACUGCCCCAUGGGUUGUAAACUUCUUUUAUCUGGGAAUAAAAUGUUCCACGUGUGGGAUUUUGUAUGUACCAUAUGAAUAAGCAUCGGCUAACUCCGUGCCAGCAGCCGCGGUAAUACGGAGGAUCCGAGCGUUAUCCGGAUUUAUUGGGUUUAAAGGGAGCGUAGGUGGAUUGUUAAGUCAGUUGUGAAAGUUUGCGGCUCAACCGUAGAAUUGCAGUUGAAACUGGCAGUCUUGAGUACAGUAGAGGUAGGCGGAAUGCGUGGUGUAGCGGUGAAAUGCUUAGAUAUCGCGAAGAACUCCGAUUGCGAAGGCAGCUCACUGGACUGUAACUGACGCUGAGGCACGAAAGUGUGGGUAUCGAACAGGAUUAGAUACCCGUGUAGUC